rnacentral:rRNA from 1 species
CAGCCGCCGCGGUGAUACGUAGGGUGCGAGCGUUGUCCGGAUUUAUUGGGCGUAAAGAGCUCGUAGGUGGUUUGUUGCGUCGGAAGUGAAAACACGGGGCUUAACUUCGUGCUUGCUUUCGAUACGGGCAGACUUGAGGAAGGUAGGGGAGAACGGAAUUCCUGGUGGAGCGGUGGAAUGCGCAGAUAUCAGGAGGAACACCGGUGGCGAAGGCGGUUCUCUGGACCUUUCCUGACGCUGAGGAGCGAAAGCGUGGGGAGCAAACAGGCUUAGAUACCCUGGUAGUCCACGCCGUAAACGGUGGGCACUAGGUGUGGGGGACUUCCACGUUCUCCGUGCCGUAGCUAACGCAUUAAGUGCCCCGCCUGGGGAGUACGGCCGCAAGGCUAAAACUCAAAGGAAUUGACGGGGGCCCGCACAAGCGGCGGAGCAUGCGGAUUAAUUCGAUGCAACGCGAAGAACCUUACCUGGGUUUGACAUAUGCCGGUAGCAGCCAGAGAUGGUUGUGCCUUUUGGGCCGGUUUACAGGAGGUGCAUGGCC